UAGGGAAUCUUCCACAAUGGACGCAAGUCUGAUGGAGCAACGCCGCGUGAGUGAAGAAGGUUUUCGGAUCGUAAAGCUCUGUUGUUGGUGAAGAAGGAUAGAGGCAGUAACUGGCCUUUAUUUGACGGUAAUCAACCAGAAAGUCACGGCUAACUACGUGCCAGCAGCCGCGGUAAUACGUAGGUGGCAAGCGUUGUCCGGAUUUAUUGGGCGUAAAGCGAGCGCAGGCGGAAGAAUAAGUCUGAUGUGAAAGCCCUCGGCUUAACCGAGGAACUGCAUCGGAAACUGUUUUUCUUGAGUGCAGAAGAGGAGAGUGGAACUCCAUGUGUAGCGGUGGAAUGCGUAGAUAUAUGGAAGAACACCAGUGGCGAAGGCGACUCUCUGGUCUGCAACUGACGCUGAGGCUCGAAAGCAUGGGUAGCGAACAGGAUUAGAUACCCUGGUAGUCCAUGCCGUAAACGAUGAGUGCUAAGUGUUGGGAGGUUUCCGCCUCUCAGUGCUGCAGCUAACGCAUUAAGCACUCCGCCUGGGGGAGUACGACCGCAAGGUUGAAAC
rnacentral:rRNA from 1 species